rnacentral:rRNA from 1 species
UGGGGAAUAUUGCACAAUGGGGGAAACCAUGAUGCAGCGACGCCGCGUGAACGAAGAAGGUAUUCGUAUCGUAAAGUUCUGUCCUAUGGGAAGAUAAUGACAGUACCAUAGAAGAAAGCUCCGGCUAAAUACGUGCCAGCAGCCGCGGUAAUACGUAUGGAGCGAGCGUUGUCCGGAAUUAUUGGGCGUAAAGGGUACGCAGGCGGUUUAAUAAGUCGAAUGUUAAAGAUCGGGGCUCAACCCCGCAAAGCAUUGGAAACUGAUAAACUUGAGUAGUGGAGAGGAAAGUGGAAUUCCUAGUGUAGUGGUGAAAUACGUAGAUAUUAGGAGGAAUACCAGUAGCGAAGGCGACUUUCUGGACACAAACUGACGCUGAGGUACGAAAGCGUGGGGAGCAAACAGG